rnacentral:rRNA from 1 species
AGCGACUAAGCGUACACGGUGGAUGCCCUGGCAGUCAGAGGCGAUGAAGGACGUGCUAAUCUGCGAUAAGCGUCGGUAAGGUGAUAUGAACCGUUAUAACCGGCGAUUUCCGAAUGGGGAAACCCAGUGUGUUUCGACACACUAUCAUUAACUGAAUCCAUAGGUUAAUGAGGCGAACCGGGGGAACUGAAACAUCUAAGUACCCCGAGGAAAAGAAAUCAACCGAGAUUCCCCCAGUAGCGGCGAGCGAACGGGGAGCAGCCCAGAGCCUGAAUCAGUGUGUGUGUUAGUGGAAGCGUCUGGAAAGGCGCGCGAUACAGGGUGACAGCCCCGUACACAAAAAUGCACAUGCUGUGAGCUCGAUGAGUAGGGCGGGACACGUGGUAUCCUGUCUGAAUAUGGGGGGACCAUCCUCCAAGGCUAAAUACUCCUGACUGACCGAUAGUGAACCAGUACCGUGAGGGAAAGGCGAAAAGAACCCCGGCGAGGGGAGUGAAAAAGAACCUGAAACCGUGUACGUACAAGCAGUGGGAGCACGCUUAGGCGUGUGACUGCGUACCUUUUGUAUAAUGGGUCAGCGACUUAUAUUCUGUAGCAAGGUUAACCGAAUAGGGGAGCCGAAGGGAAACCGAGUCUUAACUGGGCGUUAAGUUGCAGGGUAUAGACCCGAAACCCGGUGAUCUAGCCAUGGGCAGGUUGAAGGUUGGGUAACACUAACUGGAGGACCGAACCGACUAAUGUUGAAAAAUUAGCGGAUGACUUGUGGCUGGGGGUGAAAGGCCAAUCAAACCGGGAGAUAGCUGGUUCUCCCCGAAAGCUAUUUAGGUAGCGCCUCGUGAAUUCAUCUCCGGGGGUAGAGCACUGUUUCGGCAAGGGGGUCAUCCCGACUUACCAACCCGAUGCAAACUGCGAAUACCGGAGAAUGUUAUCACGGGAGACACACGGCGGGUGCUAACGUCCGUCGUGAAGAGGGAAACAACCCAGACCGCCAGCUAAGGUCCCAAAGUCAUGGUUAAGUGGGAAACGAUGUGGGAAGGCCCAGACAGCCAGGAUGUUGGCUUAGAAGCAGCCAUCAUUUAAAGAAAGCGUAAUAGCUCACUGGUCGAGUCGGCCUGCGCGGAAGAUGUAACGGGGCUAAACCAUGCACCGAAGCUGCGGCAGCGACGCUUAUGCGUUGUUGGGUAGGGGAGCGUUCUGUAAGCCUGCGAAGGUGUGCUGUGAGGCAUGCUGGAGGUAUCAGAAGUGCGAAUGCUGACAUAAGUAACGAUAAAGCGGGUGAAAAGCCCGCUCGCCGGAAGACCAAGGGUUCCUGUCCAACGUUAAUCGGGGCAGGGUGAGUCGACCCCUAAGGCGAGGCCGAAAGGCGUAGUCGAUGGGAAACAGGUUAAUAUUCCUGUACUUGGUGUUACUGCGAAGGGGGGACGGAGAAGGCUAUGUUGGCCGGGCGACGGUUGUCCCGGUUUAAGCGUGUAGGCUGGUUUUCCAGGCAAAUCCGGAAAAUCAAGGCUGAGGCGUGAUGACGAGGCACUACGGUGCUGAAGCAACAAAUGCCCUGCUUCCAGG